GGGGGGGGGGGGGGGGGGGGGGGGGGGGGGGGGGGGGGGGGGGGGGGGGGGGCCGCCGCCCGCACGGGCCGGGCGGGCUUGGGCAGCGUGAGGGGCCCCGGCAGCCGCGGCCCUCAGCGCGGUCAGCUGCCCGCCCGCGGGCUCGCCACACGCACCCUCCGGUCAGGGCCGCUGGGUCUCGUGCUGAACACAAACCCUGAAAGGAAGAAGGAGAGGAGGGAAAGGGGAACGUUGGUGCACAAAGCAGAGCAGCUUCAGUAGAAGGGUGUGAGAGCUCUCCUUCUCCAUGGCAGAGCAGCCCAGAGACCACACUGCAGAACUGUGACAACAUGGACCUGAAGCUCCUGAGAAAGAAGAUGCUGUGACCUUUCUAUGAUACCACAAUCACUAUGUGCAGUUACAGUAACAGCACAACUACUGGAAUGGGGGUCAUGUGCGCAGAGGAGAUCCAACACAGCCUGGGUGUGAGAGAGCCUGAAGAGACUGAUGUUCUGCAGCAGAGAUCAGGCCCCAUGUCUGGAAGUACUGGGAAGAGAUCAGCUGCUCCCAGGAAAGAAACAGCUUUGUCUCCUCUCAGUGAGCAUACUCCCAUGGAACCUGUUAAAAGUGGAUCUCCUCUGCAAAUACCUCACACCAGAUGAAAAAAACAUUUUGGGACAAUAAAGGCAUGGAUGAAAAUAUAGG
rnacentral:lncRNA from 1 species